GCCGGCCGGGCUGCGUUGCUCUUUCGGGGUGGACGCGGCGUGGGGGGACUCGGUUUCCCCGUGGGUUUUCGCCCCCUUGUGUGCCCUGGGAUAGGGUGAAAGAACUGGGACUGUGUUUCUGAACACCCUGAAGAGGAGCAAAGCAGAGCUGGAAGAGCUUUGACCUGAUGGCCUGUCUGCCAGCCAGUCAAACCGACUAGCCAAAGCCUUUAUUUGAGCAUGACUGCUAUGUCCAUGUCAUGAAGUUGCAGCUGCAGUCGGAGCUUGCACAAGACUUGGUUAAUUUUUUGGCCAGCUUAAACUUCCUGAACUACCUCACCACAGCAACUACCAGAGCCAUUGCAAAGGAUGGGGCAGGACAGCAGGGCUAGGGAGAAGGGGAGACUGUGGGAGCUUCCACUCAUACUAAUUUAAGUUGUAAUGGAUCUGCACACUGAACUGAAAAUCUUCAAUGCAAAAUAUCAUUUUCACUACAGCACAGAAUGUGUGAAAACUGGAAAUCAUCUGAAGUACAGACCAUCUGAGUGAUUUUAAGACUUCAAGAAAAUCUUUGACAUUAAAUGAAAUGCAUUUUUAAGAGUUUCUACAUUUUUUAAGAGUUCAGCAAUAUUUUUCUCUCCAAAGUUACCAGAAAAGAAGGUGAACAUUUCUUCAACAUGUUAACAAAGUUAGGAGUAUCUGCAGUGGCAGACAUCUGCAUUGGGACAGCUAGGGAAAUAAAGAAAUAUGGCCAGCUAAAUAAAUCUCUACUUCUUAAAGCAAAAAAAAAAAAAAAAAAAAAAGGGUGGGUGGGUGGGGAGGAAUUCAACAGAGAAAGCAAGGACAGAGACACAGAGAGACCACAGAACAACACUUUGCAUAGGAAAGAGUCAGUCAAAAGGCAAGUAUGAUUUACAGGGUCAUUUCCAAAUGACUUUUACCCCCUUCAUAAGACUAAAAGGAAAUCCUCAAUCUAGCCGUGGGGAUUUUUUUUCCCAUCUGGAUUCCAGGAUUACAGACCAUAAGUGGAAGAAAAGUUAGCCUGAAAAGAUAGAGAUUUUACAUUCACACUCAGAUCUCAAACCACAAAGACCACAAGUCAGCCACAAAUAUAAAUGUAAUAAAAUUAAUUUGCAUUCUGUAAAUUCUGUAAACAAAAAGAAUAGCGUUUUUAAAGUUGAACUAGGCAUUGAACUAACGAUUCAACCAAAAUUGUACUUACUUGUGAACUUGGAACGCCGCCCGCCCAACCCACACUGGCGUAUUUUACCACCCUGAAAGAGUCCGUAGUAAAUUUCUCCAAUGAACUUGACCAGCUCUGGAUCUGUGGCAUUGACCAAGUCAGCUCCUGUUUUGCAAAGGAUCUUGCCAGUCAUCCACUUCGGGGUCCCCAUUGCAACAACAAUCAAGAUGAAAGACACGAAACUUACUAGAGAAGCCAAAGCAAAUAAAGUCUUUUUAAAACA